CCCUUAGCAACCAGCUAGGCCGCAGCAUCCCCGGCCUUUCCCAGCCGCCGCGGCCGCCUCCCCCCCGCCCUUCCGCCGGGAAGGUUGCGCUUACAGGUCGGUGCCGAGCUGGGUGAAGCCGGAGUUGAGGCAACCACGGGCUAUGCGCCUCCAGAGGAGAUCGCGGCUACUGAGGAAGCGCAGGCGGCGGCAGACCUGGCCCAGGCGGCCCAAGGCCUGCACGUCCAGGAGCCUGGAGUGCUGACAAUGCAGAAGGAUUCUGGUCCAAAAUGGCAAAGGAACCCAUCCACAGAGAGCGGAGCAGGAAAAUAUGAGUCUAGUGUUGUGUUAUUCCUUCUUAUAGUACUUUACACUCUAUAGAAGCCUGAAGUGCUCAGGGAAGUUUCACCCUCAAAAUUAAAAAAUAGAUAAGUUAUAAGAAGUUCAUCAUCUGCCUAAAAUGCUUUGAACAGGUAUCACCCACCACAGUCCACAUCUCCUUUUGCACAGUAGAGUAUGAAAAUAAAUUUCAGCAUAUAAUGAGAUUACCAUAGCAUACAGGCCUUUAGACAGUACUUGCAUCCUGUUCCAGAAGGUCAUCUUGUCUGUGUAAACUCAAGCACUCAAAUACUCAUACGACAAAAUCACCAGCUCUGGAAGACUCGUAUUUGAGAGGUUCAAAACCGCUGGCUGAGGAACUGUCUGGUGCAUUUGCACUGAGUUUCAAUACACCCUAGAAGUCAAGGAAGUUCCAUAAGGCAGCAAAUGUUUUAUCAGCAUUUGUAAUGAGUGAAUCAGAUGGCCUAAGUAAUUAAAAAUUUCUCAACCUAAGUUUGAGCUCAGGUGAAAUACCAGCACAACUGGCACAGAUCUGAAGUGUCGAACUGAAAGGGAGGUAAUAUCACAAAUUUUGCUUAACAUGAAAUUAUGGGAGCUUGGUGUGAAUGCAGUUUAAUAUCGACAAUAUAUUUUUGAUGACAUUAAAUAUAGCUCUUUUGUAAGACACUUUGGCAAUGUCUAAAACGUUAAAGUUAUUAAAAGCUGAA